ACUUCAUGCUGUUAUUUUAGUCUCAUGACAUGCUACUUAGCCAUGUGAAAAAAAACUUUAGUGCUCUGUAAGUACCUUGCUCUUGUGCACUCCUCCUUCACAAGUAACAUUCUCCUGCACGCUCAGCUUCAGAAGGUAAGAUUUUUUCAGGAGUUAAAUUUCAGCUUGGUAUGUUCACCUGGAAACUAGCUCUCCCUGAGGAACUAAAAGUUAAAAACAUUUAAGAUGCAUUUU
rnacentral:lncRNA from 1 species